AUAGCUCAGUGGUAGAGCACACCUGCCAAGGUUGGGUCGCGAGUUCGAGCCUCGUUUCCGCUCCA
rnacentral:tRNA from 1 species